rnacentral:rRNA from 1 species
GGGCAGUGCGCAGCUUACACAUGCAAGUCGAACGAUGAACCUCCUUCGGGAGGGGAUUAGUGGCGAACGGGUGAGUAACACGUGGGCAAUCUGCCCUGCACUCUGGGACAAGCCCUGGAAACGGGGUCUAAUACCGGAUACUGAUCAUCUUGGGCAUCCUUGGUGAUCGAAAGCUCCGGCGGUGCAGGAUGAGCCCGCGGCCUAUCAGCUUGUUGGUGAGGUAAUGGCUCACCAAGGCGACGACGGGUAGCCGGCCUGAGAGGGCGACCGGCCACACUGGGACUGAGACACGGCCCAGACUCCUACGGGAGGCAGCAGUGGGGAAUAUUGCACAAUGGGCGAAAGCCUGAUGCAGCGACGCCGCGUGAGGGAUGACGGCCUUCGGGUUGUAAACCUCUUUCAGCAGGGAAGAAGCGAAAGUGACGGUACCUGCAGAAGAAGCGCCGGCUAACUACGUGCCAGCAGCCGCGGUAAUACGUAGGGCGCGAGCGUUGUCCGGAAUUAUUGGGCGUAAAGAGCUCGUAGGCGGCUUGUCGCGUCGGUUGUGAAAGCCCGGGGCUUAACCCCGGGUCUGCAGUCGAUACGGGCAGGCUAGAGUUCGGUAGGGGAGAUCGGAAUUCCUGGUGUAGCGGUGAAAUGCGCAGAUAUCAGGAGGAACACCGGUGGCGAAAGCGGAUCUCUGGGCCGAUACUGACACUCACGAGCGAAAGCGUGGGGAGCGAACAGGAUUAUAUACCCUGCUAGUCCACGCCCGUAAACGGUGGGCACUAGGUGUGGGCGACACUCCACGUCGUCCGUGCCGCAGCUAACGCAUUAAGUGCCCCGCCUGGGGAGUACGGCCCGCAAGCUAAACUCAUAGGAAUUGACGGGG